AGCUGUUACUGGGGGAAGGAGCCAAGCGGCGCGGAGCAGCCGGCGGCCCGCAGACACUCCGGGUGCCCGGCCGCGCCGAAAUGGGCGCCGGCGGAGGGAAGGGAAGGGAAGGAAGGGAGGGAAGGAAAGGAGGAAGGGAAGCAGCGGAGCCGGGAGGCGAGGCCAGGCGAGGAGGAGCGGCCCGGCCCGGCCACACGAGCCCAGCGCGGGGGUCGGGGAGGGGGACCCGCUCCCUGAGGGCGGCCCCGCCGCGCCCGGCAGUGCGGGAGGGGAGGGAAGCGAAGGGGAGGCCGCCCGGGCACGGCAGGCCCCAGGCCGCGGAGCUUUUCUAGGAAAGACAUUAAACUGCGCUGCCAACAGAGCUUAUAGCAUUGCCGGAGAAUUAUGCUAGUUCUAAGGCAGCAUUUCUGGAUUUUACCUUCAGUCUAAGACCUGGGAUAUACCAUAGGCAGAUUUUUCCUACCUGAGCAUCAUCACACAAGCAGAUGGGAUCCGUCAGCUUCACAAAGCCUUAGAUUGGAGCGAGACUGAAGGCACAGCGAGGCACCAGCACAUCAGCAGGAAGCAGAUGGCUGGCUCCAGAAAAGUUCAAGCCCAGUCCACACACAACCCAGGUGCCAGAGCAGAGCUCGCCACGCACGGCGGCGCGUAAAUAAAUAGCAGCGAAGCAGGAAGAGCUCUUUGUUCAUUUUUAGCUCGUGUUGAUGCAGGGGCUCCCCAGCCCGGGCGUGUGUGACCCCAUGGUGCACAAACACAGCAGCAGGAGGGUGCAGGAGCUCCUGGGUGAGGCAGGCAAGUGACUCAGCGCCGCGCCAGCCUCAGGGAGGAGCCUGGACAGCACCAGGCAAACACUUUCCCUCCGCACUUUCCCUCGUAAAAAUUACCAUAGUGCCUUUGAUAUGCAGGCAGGCCCCAGUUAAACCUGAUAUUUAAACCAGCGGGACUUAAACGCUGUUGAUUUAAAGAGAAGAACCAUCAGGCUCCCACGGGGCAGCUCCGGGCUUGGCAGGGCAGCGGAGGGACCGGGCUCCCCACACGGAGGGAUCCCCCACAAAGAUGCUUUUGUCACUUUGCAUCCCAAAGUGGAUUAAUGUGAACCACAAGGGCACUUCAGUCCUAAUGAGCAGGUACACCCACACCCAGCAAUUCCAGCAAGACUUCCUCUGCUUCGGAAGCGCUGAAUAGUUCGGCCUAGAGGCCUUCAUACUCUUAAGACCUUUUUUCCCCCCUUAAUUUGAGGGAGAUAUCAACAUUAAGAAAAAAAAUCCCAAACCUUUUAAAUUAUUUGUCUUUGUGUUGUGCAUACUGAGAAAGGAAAUGGAGGUUCACUGGUUUGAAGGCAGUGGUUUUAUUAAUUUUGAGGCUGCUGACAAUGACUCUUUGCUGGCAAGGACAUGCUGUAAAAAGGGCUUCUUGCUGAACAGGGAGCAUCUUCUGCCUCACCUUAGCAUAAAUUUAUUGGUGAUUCAUCAUUUAUUGAUCAUACAUGGUAAAAAAUAACUAACACUGCUGAUCAACAUACCAGUACCACUAGUUUCAUCAGUUGCUUUAAGGCAUACACACGGAUUACCCUGUAGAUCUCCAUGAGGGAGAUCUCCUGGGACUCCUCCAGGGAGGAGUCAAUCCAAAAACAAUCAUCUCGUUGAUACACUCACCAGAUCGAUUUGGGAGGCUUCUGCUUCCCAGAAUAAACAGCAGGAGCAGAGGAACAGCAUUGACCAGGUGAACAGUCCCUCGUUCACAGGCAGCUGAUGAACUGUAUGAUCCAAAGCCAUGAAGUUGUUCUUCCACAAGUUUCAGGACACGAGUUGUGCUGCUCAGAGAAUGUUCAGCUCUCACUCAGUGUUCAGGCUCCCUGGUGCUCAGAGCUUCUGAUGGACACGGCUGCUGGCCCCAGGGACAAUUUCACAUUGAUCUUUUCAAAAUCUACCACAGGGCCCCAAGAAAUAGUACAGAUGACCAAGGUCAGGACUGCUGCAGGAUGGGGAUGCCUACCAAACAGCCUGGCCUCGCUGUUUUAUUGCUGCCGACCUCCCACCCAGAGGCCCAUCAUUCCCUGAAGGCUGUAAGAGAAACACAGUUGUGUGUUGUGAACAUGUCACACCAAGGACAGCUUCCAGAUCAGUGCCAGAGGAACAGAUUUUUAAAGGAAGAGAUGCACACUGCCUGAGCUCCUUCAAGCACCCUGCACCAGAUUCCUGCACCUUGGCUUCUACUGGGCCACAUGGUCCCUUUUUAUUUUUGGAGAGGAAAACCAGUGGGUUUGUUGCUGCAGCCCCAGGGCCUUCAUGCCCAUGGGGCAGAGAAUGUCCCUGCCCACCUGAGCUCCCACUCUGGUUCCUGGCACAAGAGGGAGGGCAAAAUAAAAGCCGAAUGUCGUCCCUUGCUAUCCACAAUCCAGCCCCAGGAAGACUGGUGGAGGUUUCACACAGGAAGAGGUGAAAAAUGAGUGAACAGCCUGGAAAGGUGCUGGUACAGACCUCACUCUGGGAAGUGACACACUGACCUCAGCGGGUUUAGUUAUUGCAGGUGCAGCACUGUAGCUUCAGUGUGAACUGGGGCUGUUACAUGGGAACAAAUUUCUGUUUUGGCUUUACUGAUUUGCUAAGGAUUGGGUUUUUUGUUUUGUUUUGGUGGAUUUUUAUUUUUUUUUGGGGGGGGGGGGGAUUUUGCAUAUGUAAAUAUGCACAUUUUUUAAGAUGGAAAAAAAAUGCUACUUCUCAGACAGAAACACUGAAGAGGCCCCUGUUAACGCUGAGGUUAUGGCAAAACUCCCUUCACAGCAGGCAUGUAACUCAGAUGUUAGGUCCUACUGUGGCUGAGCAAAUCCAAACUUGUUUUAUUUUAACAUAGUUACGAAAAAGGGUGUGUCCCAGCUGCCUUGGCAUACCUCUGAAGUUUCAAGCAAGACAUAUCUGGUCCUCGUAGGAGAUCAAACAGAUUAUCUCACAGGCUCAGGAUGUGGUUGCAAAAAAUUCAGCCUUGUAAGCGUCAUAGUGAAUCAUAAUGUAAUCUACAUUACUUGGUGUAAUUACUGCAGAGUAAAUAAAGGCACAAGUACAAAAGGUAUAAUAUUUGUUAUUUACCUUGAUCUCUGUCACAUACUGUUUUAAUAUUUCCUGUGAGUCCAAGAAUCCAGUCACCCUGAAGGAGAUUUCUCUUUCUUGCCCAUACUUAAACCCUGUUUUCUUUCAUUAUACAAACAUUGUUCAGGUUUUUAUGUGAGGGGAGGACAGAGCCAGGACUGAUUCUCUCCCUAAUCAGAGUCCUGGAAGACUCCUCAUGUAGCCUUCAACAAGAUGUUUGUUAUCAGGGCUUGAGCUUCUAUCUGUAAAAAGAGAGGACUAACACAGAUACUAAUGGUGAUUAUAUUAUUGUUAACACAUAAUUAUCUAUCUCACAAGAAAUUUGGGAGGGUAAAUUAGUGUUUAUGAAGCAUUUUUAAGACGAUAAUAUUAUUUAUGUGAGGGCUAUACAUUAUGCCUGGAGGACAGCAGUUGUUGAAAACCACUCUCUAAUUAGGUUUUGCUAAUGAUGGUGUCAAAAAAGUGUAGAAAAAAAUAUCAAUAGGUACACUUGAACUAGUUUUAUUUCUUAAACUAUUUGCAUCAGCUGCUUUCUUGUAGACAGAUAUGCUAUAUCCACUUAUACCAGAUGUUAAACAUUGUUUUCCUGCAUAUUAAGCAUAAAAUGAAUGAUGAAGGUGGCAGUGCCAAAGCACACCCUGCACUAUGUUAUUAGACAACUUGCUCCAGUGAUUAAAGCCCUUGAAGUCAAUAGAGGUUUUGUAGUUGUUGGGUUGUUUUUGUUUCCCCACCCCGCUGGGCAAGGAUUCCAUCCUGGAUCUCCAGCCUUGUCUUUCACUGCACACCACUGAUGUGCUUAACACUCAAUUAAAGCACACCCAGGAUUUAUUCC